rnacentral:rRNA from 1 species
UAAGGAAUAUUGGACAAUGGUCGCAAGACUGAUCCAGCCAUGCCGCGUGCAGGAAGACGGCCCUAUGGGUUGUAAACUGCUUUUGUACCAGAGAAAACCUAUCUACGUGUAGAUAGCUGAUAGUAUGGUAAGAAUAAGCAUCGGCUAACUUCGUGCCAGCAGCCGCGGUAAGACGAAGGAUGCAAGCGUUAUCCGGAUUCAUUGGGUUUAAAGGGUGCGUAGGCGGGCUUGUAAGUCAGUGGUGAAAUCUCUCAGCUUAACUGAGAAACUGCCAUUGGUACUGCAUGCCUAGAGUAUAGAUGACGUCGGCGGAAUAUGACAUGUAGUGGUGAAAUACUUAGAUAUGUCGUAGAACACCGAUUGCGAAGGCAGCUAACGAAACUAUAACUGACGCUGAGGCACGAAAGUGCGGGGAUCAAACA